rnacentral:rRNA from 1 species
UGGGGGAUAUUGCACAAUGGGCGAAAGCCUGAUGCAGCGACGCCGCGUGGGGGAUGAAGGCUUUCGGGUUGUAAACUUCUUUUGCUCUGAACAAGGCGCACCAUGGGGUGUGUUGAGUGUAGGGGUUGAUUAGCGCCGGCUAACUACGUGCCAGCAGCCGCGGUAAUACGUAGGGCGCGAGCGUUGUCCGGAAUUAUUGGGCGUAAAGGGCUUGUAGGUGGCUGGUUGCGUCUGUCGUGAAAGCUCAUGGCUUAACUGUGGGUUUGCGGUGGGUACGGGCUGGCUUGAGUGCAGUAGGGGAGGCUGGAAUUCCUGGUGUAGCGGUGGAAUGCGCAGAUAUCAGGAGGAAUACCGGUGGCGAAGGCGGGUCUCUAGGCUGUUACUGACACUGAGGAGCGAAAGCAUGGGGAGCGAACAGG